AUUGAACGCUGGCGGCAGGCUUAACACAUGCAAGUCGAGCGGAGCGAGGGUGCUUGCACCUUAGCUUAGCGGCGGACGGGUGAGUAAUGCUUAGGAAUCUGCCUAUUAGCGGGGGACAACAUUCCGAAAGGAAUGCUAAUACCGCAUACGCCCUACGGGGGAAAGCAGGGGAUCUUCGGACCUUGCGCUAAUAGAUGAGCCUAAGUCGGAUUAGCUAGUUGGUGGGGUAAAGGCCUACCAAGGCGACGAUCUGUAGCGGGUCUGAGAGGAUGAUCCGCCAGACUGGGAAUGAGACACGGCCCAGACUCCUACGGGAGGCAGCAGUGGGGAAUAUUGGACAAUGGGCGGAAGCCUGAUCCAGCCAUGCCGCGUGUGUGAAGAAGGCCUUUUGGUUGUAAAGCACUUUAAGCGAGGAGGAGGCUACUUAGAUUAAUACUCUAGGAUAGUGGACGUUACUCGCAGAAUAAGCACCGGCUAACUCUGUGCCAGCCGCCGCCGUAAGAC
rnacentral:rRNA from 1 species